CGUCAUUUGCACGUACUGUUUAAGUGGCAAGCUAACAGUCAUAUAGAUUUCCAAGACUUUAAGGACCUUUUUUCACGACCAGCAGCCAACGAGCCCAUCGAGGAAGGAUGGAGGAAAAAAGGAAGGAGGGAGGGAGGAAGGAAGUGAGCAAUAAGGAAGCAUGGGUAGGACGGAGGAGGCAGGUGAAGGAUUGGAAGUAGAGGAGGUCAUGAAGGAUGCAUGGAGGAGGACAACAAAGAAGGAAGAAGAUAAAGGAUGGAGGGAGUAAAUGAAGGAGAUGAAGGGGGUAAGAAGAAACAAGCGACGUCACAACGCCCUCGCGGGAAAAACCAAGAAAGACAAAAGCAAGAGUGACUGAAGGCCACGUUCAACCGCAGGUGAUGGCGAACAUCAGCGGCCGCCAUCUUUCAUCUCCGCUCACCAACACAAAAUACUAACAUCAAGACGUCGGAAAAAAGGAAAUCAAAUUAUUGUGUCAGUCAAAUAUCUUCAGGAAGCCACAAGUUUCAUCGUGAGCAAAGAGUUUCUAUAAAAACAGACAGAAGGACAGCUGACGCCCCCUUGUGGUUGCUUUUAGACUUUCGGACUCAUUCUGCAGCGAAUAUUCCUUACAGUCGUUUACAAUAAGCA